GUUUAAGGAGCCCAUACGAAUCUCUCCUUUCCCCGCAGAAGUAUGCUGCUCCAGGAGAUGCCAGAAGAGCAGGGAGGUUAAUAGUAAAUAGUUAGAAGAGUUUUUUAAAAAAACAUUAGACAACAAGAAACUACUUUUUCAGUUCAAUCUGGCCUCUCAUAGUUUGAGGUAGUUUUCCAUAGGCUGCCACUGGAAUUGGAUACAAUUGGUAGAGCCAACCAGAAUGAAAUGUUCCCAGGAUGAAAAGAAUGCCAAUGCCAAACCAGCAGGGGAGAAGCAAAGAACCCUAGACCCCUGGAGGCCCUAGUGCCUUUGACAAGGGUAAAAGGUGUUAUUUAUCUGCUCAUAAAUGCUGAUAGUCAAGAACAAAAUGAACGAGUCACAAGAUAUUGAAAACAAAAAUCCUUAGGAGCAGCUGAUCCUGGUGGGCCAGGAAGCUCAGAAUCAAAAUGGAUGCUCAGUUGGAACAUCCGCACUAGCCUGCCACAUUAGCACGUUUGCUACCACCUCUUUCUGCAGAUCCCAUUUGCAAUUUCUGGGUUUACACCAUCAGACUGAUUUUCUAUGUAAUCUUCGUUAUAAGCCUCUUCAGAUGUUUUUAAAAUGAAAUGAGGAAUACAUUAAUGAAUAAUCAAAUGAUUAUUUUCAUUGAGUUGGAAAGUCAUUUCACGUUUCAGAAUGGCUGUUAGUGACAGUUGACUUCUACCUAAAUGUAACUCAAUAUUACACAUUCUCAUCCUAUAAUAUGUAACUCAUACCUAAAAAAAAUAAUCAGUGGGCUCCAGAAUGCGCAGAAAAAUAUAUUCAGGAUUUUGCUUUUCCCCCCAGUACUGUCUAAGGUGGUUGUUUAGGUCUAGUGAGCCACCGAAAUUAAUUAUACCCGAAG
rnacentral:lncRNA from 10 species